rnacentral:rRNA from 1 species
GAUGAACGCUAGCUACAGGCUUAACACAUGCAAGUCGAGGGGCAGCAUCAUCAAAGCUUGCUUUGAUGGAUGGCGACCGGCGCACGGGUGAGUAACACGUAUCCAACCUGCCGACAACACUGGGAUAGCCUUUCGAAAGAAAGAUUAAUACCGGAUGGCAUAGUUUUCCCGCAUGGGAUAAUUAUUAAAGAAUUUCGGUUGUCGAUGGGAUGCGUUCCAUUAGGCAGUUGGCGGGGUAACGGCCCACCAAACCUACGAUGGAUAGGGGUUCUGAGAGGAAGGUCCCCCCACAUUGGAACUGAGACACGGUCCAAACUCCUACGGGAGGCAGCAGUGAGGAAUAUUGGUCAAUGGGCGCUAGCCUGAACCAGCCAAGUAGCGUGAAGGAUGAAGGCUCUAUGGGUCGUAAACUUCUUUUAUAUAAGAAUAAAGUGCAGUAUGUAUACUGUUUGAUGUACCCUAUGAAUAAGCAUCGGCUAAUCCGUGCCAGCAGCCGG